CCUACGGGUGGCAGCAGUGAGGAAUAUUGGUCAAUGGACGGAAGUCUGAACCAGCCAUGCCGCGUGCAGGAAGACGGCUCUAUGAGUUGUAAACUGCUUUUGUACAAGGGUAAACCUGAAUACGUGUAUUCAGAUGAAAGUACUGUACGAAUAAGGAUCGGCUAACUCCGUGCCAGCAGCCGCGGUAAUACGGAGGAUCCAAGCGUUAUCCGGAUUUAUUGGGGUUAAAGGGUGCGUAGGCGGAUUGAUAAGUUAGAGGUGAAAUGUCCGAGCUUAACUCGGGAACUGCCUCUAAUACUGUUGAUCUAGAGAGUAGAUGCGGUAGGCGGAAUGUAUGGUGUAGCGGUGAAAUGCUUAGAGAUCAUACAGAACACCGAUGGCGAAGGCAGCUUACCAAUCUAUAUCUGACGUUGAGGCACGAAAGCGUGGGGAGCGAACAGGAUUAGAUACCCGUGUAGUC
rnacentral:rRNA from 1 species